rnacentral:rRNA from 1 species
UACGUAGGGUGCGAGCGUUGUCCGGAAUUAUUGGGCGUAAAGAGCUCGUAGGCGGCCUGUUGCGUCCGCUGUGAAAUCCCGGGGCUUAACCCCGGGCGUGCAGUGGAUACGGGCUGGCUGGAGGCAGGCAGGGGAGAACGGAAUUCCUGGUGUAGCGGUGAAAUGCGCAGAUAUCAGGAGGAACACCGGUGGCGAAGGCGGUUCUCUGGGCCUGUACUGACGCUGAGGAGCGAAAGCGUGGGGAGCGAACAGG